UAGACACCGAGACAACUCCGUCAAGGUAUAUUCCCCGCACUCGCCACUAGAGGGACAUAAAACGAAACCUAGACCGACGUUUUCUUACGCGUUACACCGUUCGAACCUUCGUCCUCGAAAACCUCUUACAUCAUCUGCAUAGCUCGGAAAUUCCUUGGAAGGAUACUCGAGAAACAGAGGCCACGUCACAUCAGUUUCCAGGACGCGUCUAGGAGCCAUUUUGUAGAAACUUCAGUAGUGGUAGUAGCGGUAGCAGUAGCAGAAGGUAGAGGAGACCAAGGAUCUGUGCUAGGUGAAGAUGUAACCGUCACGGGUGAUGAAGGGGGUGCUCGCCACGGAUCAACUGCAGCAGCUGAAACAGAAU